AUGCUAUUAAUUGCCGAAGGUUUCUUCUUCUUCUUUGUCAAAAUGGAACAAAACCCACGGCAAUCAAUCAAGCUCCACCGUUCGGCCACCGAAGCCGAUGAUUCAAACUCGAUUAUGAAGUCAACACGCUAAGGAACAAGUGUUUUAUUUCAGGUGAUAGUAUUUGAAGAGAUGGACUUCCAUUCUUGUUCCGGAAGUCUACAACAUAUAAAGUAUGUAUUGAAGUACGCUUCAAUUCGUAGCGCUGCAGUAGUCAGUAGAUGUCAGUCUAUAUUUGAUUGUUUGUACCGAACGAGAUCCAGCUGUUAACUCUGAUUUUAUAAAAUAUAUAUACACAAUUUAUAAAACUAUGUUUUUACCCGUU